rnacentral:misc_RNA from 1 species
CUGAUUACACUUCCGGCCAUAGCACGUUCAGCGCUGCCGCUGCGACUGUGCUGCCGCUAUUUUUUGGAACGGAAGACCUGCCGUUCACCACGGGCUCCGAUUUUCUUCCCGGCGUGUUCCGCAGCUUUUCAACGUGUCUCGAUGCAGCGGAGGAAGCGGCAGCAAGCAGGAUCUACGGGGGUAUUCACUUUCGAACGGCAAGCGAAGAUGGGUUGCAAGCGGGUACCAGUAUCGGCGAAUGGACCUUCGACCAUUACCUGCAACCGAAGCACCACCGGCCGCGGCACUGACCACCUGCUACUGAUUCUUGGAUCUUAACAGCGCGAGCAGCUGCUGUUAGCGUGGAAAAUUAUUGA